GUCCUCAAGCUCAGGUGGCACAGUGGGUUAGUGUGUCUGACUGCUAACCAGAAGGUUGGUGGUUUGAGUCCACCCGGGGACA